rnacentral:rRNA from 1 species
AACGAACGCUAUCGGCAUGCUUAACACAUGCAAGUCGGACGGACUAAUUAGGGCUUGCUCCAAUUAGUUAGUGGCAGACGGGUGAGUAACACGUGGGAAUCUGCCCAUCAGUACGGAAUAACUUUUAGAAAUAAAAGCUAAUACCGUAUAUUCUCUACAGAGGAAAGAUUUAUCGCUGAUGGAUGAGCCCGCGUCAGAUUAGGUAGUUGGUGAGGUAACGGCUCACCAAGCCGACGAUCUGUAGCUGGUCUGAGAGGAUGAUCAGCCACACUGGGACUGAGACACGGCCCAGACUCCUACGGGAGGCAGCAGUGGGGAAUAUUGGACAAUGGGCGAAAGCCUGAUCCAGCAAUACCGAGUGAGUGAUAAAGGCCCUAGGGUUGUAAAGCUCUUUUAGCAAGGGAGAUAAUGACGUUACUUGCAGAAAAAGCCCCGGCUAACUCCGUG